rnacentral:rRNA from 1 species
AAACCAGCACCUCAAGUGGUCAGGAUGAUUAUUGGGCCUAAAGCAUCCGUAGCCUGCUCUGUAAGUUUUCGGUUAAAUCUGUACGCUCAACGUACAGGCUGCCGGGAAUACUGCAGAGCUAGGGAGUGGGAGAGGUAGACGGUACUCGGGAGGAAGUGGUAAAAUGCUUUGAUCUCUCGAUGACCACCCGUGGCGAAGGCGGUCUACCAGAACACGUCCGACGGUGAGGGAUGAAAGCUGGGGGAGCAAACCGGAUUAGAAACCCCAGUAGUCC